AACGAACGCUGGCGGCAUGCCUAACACAUGCAAGUCGAACGAGACCUUCGGGUCUAGUGGCGCACGGGUGCGUAACACGUGGGAAUCUGCCCUUUGCUUCGGAAUAACAGUUAGAAAUGACUGCUAAUACCGGAUGAUGUCGAAAGACCAAAGAUUUAUCGGCAAAGGAUGAGCCCGCGUAGGAUUAGGUAGUUGGUGGGGUAAAGGCCUACCAAGCCGACGAUCCUUAGCUGGUCUGAGAGGAUGAUCAGCCACACUGGGACUGAGACACGGCCCAGACUCCUACGGGAGGCAGCAGUGGGGAAUAUUGGACAAUGGGCGAAAGCCUGAUCCAGCAAUGCCGGGUGAGUGAUGAAGGCCUUAGGGUUGUAAAGCUCUUUUACCAGGGAUGAUAAUGACAGUACCGGGAGAAUAAGCUCCGGCUAACUCCGUG
rnacentral:rRNA from 1 species